rnacentral:rRNA from 1 species
AUUGAACGCUGGCGGCAGGCCUAACACAUGCAAGUCGAACGGUAACAGGAAACAGCUUGCUGUUUCGCUGACGAGUGGCGGACGGGUGAGUAAUGUCUGGGAAACUGCCUGAUGGAGGGGGAUAACUACUGGAAACGGUAGCUAAUACCGCAUAACGUCGCAAGACCAAAGAGGGGGACCUUCGGGCCUCUUGCCAUCGGAUGUGCCCAGAUGGGAUUAGCUAGUAGGUGGGGUAACGGCUCACCUAGGCGACGAUCCCUAGCUGGUCUGAGAGGAUGACCAGCCACACUGGAACUGAGACACGGUCCAGACUCCUACGGGAGGCAGCAGUGGGGAAUAUUGCGCAAUGGGCGCAAGCCUGAUGCAGCCAUGCCGCGUGUAUGAAGAAGGCCUUCGGGUUGUAAAGUACUUUCAGCGGGGAUGAAGGGAGUAAAGUUAAUACCUUUGCUCAUUGACGUUACCCGCAGAAGAAGCACCGGCUAACUCCGUG